UUACUCUGUUAUCUCUUCAUAUCAUAUAAAUAUUUCACACUUUACUAAAGAUUUCCUUGGAUAGAAACAGGCAUGAGUGUCAGGGGAAUUUUUAAAGGCUCCGUUUUGUUUUUUAGGAGGU
ensembl:snRNA U5 U5 spliceosomal RNA